CAGGGUCAAAAUCAGUCAAAAUCGCCUACGCCCAAUUACGAGCCGCGAUUCCUCACUGCGGCCAGCGACUUGGCCGCAGCAUCUCCGCCGCGCACGGCCUCCUCACCGCGGUCGACGGCCUCGCCCCAGCGCAAACGACGUUGUACCGCCGUCGCGCGUCACCGCCCGUUGCCACCAGAUAAAAAAUCACCACGGGCACAUCAGCCCUAGCCGUCGCCACCUACGAUGCUGCUCCGCGACACCUCCAUCGCCGAGACCCACCGCCGUUAGCCAAGUGACCUUUGGCAACACCAUCAACCCCGGCCACGGGCAAGUGCGCGGCCGAGUUCCACCGCCUCGACUCACUGUCCGCAACGAUCCUUCCUGCCGCGCCGAGCGAUCGGCGACAUCCCUCUCCUGGCUUGAUUCCUGUGCGGCUGCCGCUCAUAUGCAGAGCCGCCACCCACGGCAGAACGCCGCCACCAAUAGGGUCGCCGCCCCCGUCUGUGCCGCCAUCGCCCACAACAAGGCCGCACCCACAACCGGCGGCACCCCUUCUGACGCUCUUCCGUUCCGACUCCGCCGUCCGUGGAUUCCACUCGCGUACACGCGGCUAUCCUGGAUCGCCCACAAACAAGUGAGCAGGACGGAGUAGAAUCGGGCAUAAUUUGAGUCAGAAAAGUCUUGAACAUUGGAUACGAAGAUUGAUUAGCCGAU
rnacentral:lncRNA from 1 species